GACGAACGCUGGCGGCGUGCUUAACACAUGCAAGUCGAACGGAAAGGCCCUGCUUUUGUGGGGUGCUCGAGUGGCGAACGGGUGAGUAACACGUGAGUAACCUGCCCUUGACUUUGGGAUAACUUCAGGAAACUGGGGCUAAUACCGGAUAGGAGCUCCUGCUGCAUGGUGGGGGUUGGAAAGUUUCGGCGGUUGGGGAUGGACUCGCGGCUUAUCAGCUUGUUGGUGGGGUAGUGGCUUACCAAGGCUUUGACGGGUAGCCGGCCUGAGAGGGUGACCGGCCACAUUGGGACUGAGAUACGGCCCAGACUCCUACGGGAGGCAGCAGUGGGGAAUAUUGCACAAUGGGCGGAAGCCUGAUGCAGCGACGCCGCGUGCGGGAUGACGGCCUUCGGGUUGUAAACCGCUUUCGCCUGUGACGAAGCGUGAGUGACGGUAAUGGGUAAAGAAGCACCGGCUAACUACGUGCCAGCAGCCGCGGUGAUACGUAGGGUGCGAGCGUUGUCCGGAUUUAUUGGGCGUAAAGGGCUCGUAGGUGGUUGAUCGCGUCGGAAGUGUAAUCUUGGGGCUUAACCCUGAGCGUGCUUUCGAUACGGGUUGACUUGAGGAAGGUAGGGGAGAAUGGAAUUCCUGGUGGAGCGGUGGAAUGCGCAGAUAUCAGGAGGAACACCAGUGGCGAAGGCGGUUCUCUGGGCCUUUCCUGACGCUGAGGAGCGAAAGCGUGGGGAGCGAACAGGCUUAGAUACCCUGGUAGUCCACGCUGUAAACGGUGGGUACUAGGUGUGGGGUCCAUUCCACGGGUUCCGUGCCGUAGCUAACGCUUUAAGUACCCCGCCUGGGGAGUACGGCCGCAAGGCUAAAACUCAAAGGAAUUGACGGGGCCCCGCACAAGCGGCGGAGCAUGCGGAUUAAUUCGAUGCAACGCGUAGAACCUUACCUGGGUUUGACAUGGAUCGGGAGCGCUCAGAGAUGGGUGUGCCUCUUUUGGGGUCGGUUCACAGGUGGUGCAUGGCUGUCGUCAGCUCGUGUCGUGAGAUGUUGGGUUAAGUCCCGCAACGAGCGCAACCCUUGUUCACUGUUGCCAGCACGUUAUGGUGGGGACUCAGUGGAGACCGCCGGGGUCAACUCGGAGGAAGGUGGGGAUGACGUCAAGUCAUCAUGCCCCUUAUGUCCAGGGCUUCACGCAUGCUACAAUGGCUGGUACAGAGAGUGGCGAGCCUGUGAGGGUGAGCGAAUCUCGGAAAGCCGGUCUCAGUUCGGAUUGGGGUCUGCAACUCGACCUCAUGAAGUCGGAGUCGCUAGUAAUCGCAGAUCAGCAACGCUGCGGUGAAUACGUUCCCGGG
rnacentral:rRNA from 1 species